rnacentral:rRNA from 1 species
GGCUCAGGACGAACGCUGGCGGCGUGCUUAACACAUGCAAGUCGAGCGGAAAGGCCCUUUCGGGGGUACUCGAGCGGCGAACGGGUGAGUAACACGUGAGUAAUCUGCCCUUGGCUUUGGGAUAACUACCGGAAACGGUGGCUAAUACCGGAUAUGACCAUGCUCGGCAUCGGGUGUGGUGGAAAGUUUUUUCGGCCAGGGAUGUGCUCGCGGCCUAUCAGCUUGUUGGUGGGGUAAUGGCCUACCAAGGCUUCGACGGGUAGCCGGCCUGAGAGGGUGACCGGCCACACUGGGACUGAGACACGGCCCAGACUCCUACGGGAGGCAGCAGUGGGGAAUAUAGGACAAUGGGCGGAAGCCUGAUCCAGCAACGCCGCGUGAGGGAUGACGGCCUUCGGGUUGUAAACCUCUUUCAGUACCGACGAAGCGCCGAUGAUGGUGGUGACGGUAGGUACAGAAGAAGCACCGGCCAACUACGUG